UAAGACGUAGGGGGCGAGCGUUGUCCGGAUUUACUGGGCGUAAAGCGCGCGCAGGCGGCCCGUUAAGUCGGAUGUGAAAACCUGGGGCUCAACCCCAGGCCUGCACCCGAUACUGGCGGGCUCGAGGCAGGUAGGGGAGAGUGGAAUUCCCGGUGUAGCGGUGAAAUGCGCAGAUAUCGGGAGGAACACCGGUGGCGAAGGCGGCUCUCUGGGCCUGUCCUGACGCUCAUGCGCGAAAGCUAGGGGAGCAAACAGGAUUAGAUACCCUGGUAGUCCUAGCCGUAAACGUUGGGUGCUAGGUGUGGGGCGGGGAUCGACCCGUUCUGUGCCGAAGCUAACGCAUUAAGCACCCCGCCUGGGGAGUACGGCCGCAAGGCUA
rnacentral:rRNA from 1 species